GACGAACGCUGGCGGCGUGCUUAACACAUGCAAGUCGUGCGGUAAGGCCCUUGCGGGGGUACACGAGCGGCGAACGGGUGAGUAACACGUGAGCAACCUGCCCCUCACUAUGGGAAAACUGCCGGAAACGGUGGCCAAUACCGGAUAUGACUUCUUAACGCAUGUGGGGUGGUGGAAAGCCUUCGGGUGGUGGGGGAUAGGCUCGCGGUCUAUCAGCUUGUUGGUGGGGUGUUGGCUUACCAAAGCGUCGACGGGUAGCCGGCCUGAGAGGGUGCCCGGCCCCACUAAACCUAAGCGAGGCACCUGGCUGCUAUGGGGGGCAACCGUGGGAAGUAUUGAACAUUGACCGAAAGCCUGGGCCAGCGGCGCCGCGUGUGGGAAGACGGCCUUCGGGUUAUGAACCUCUUUCGCCUGCGACGACGCGCGAGUGACGGUAACAGAUAAAGAAGCACCGGCCAACUACGUG
rnacentral:rRNA from 1 species